rnacentral:rRNA from 1 species
GACGAACGCUGGCGGCGUGCUUAACACAUGCAAGUCGAACGGCAAGACCCUGCUUUUGUGGGGUGCUCGAGGGGCGAACGGGGGAGUAACACGUGAGUAACCUGCCCUUGACUUUGGGAUAACUUCAGGAAACUGGGGCUAAUACCGGAUAGGAGCUCCUGCUGCAUGGUGGGGGUUGGAAAGUUUCGGCGGUUGGGGAUGGACUCGCGGCUUAUCAGCUUGUUGGUGGGGUAGUGGCUUACCAAGGCUUUGACGGGUAGCCGGCCUGAGAGGGUGACCGGCCACCUUGGGCCUGCGAUACGCCCCAGUCUCCUACGUUGGGCAGCGGUGGGGAAUAUUGCACAGUGGGCCGAAGCCUGAUGCGGCAACGCCGCGGUCGUGAUGACCUCCUUCGGGUUGUGAACCGCUUUCGCCUAUGACGAAGCGUUAGUGACGGUACUGGGUGAAGAAGCACCGGCUAACUACGUG